AUGCGAGGAGAGAAGCGCACUGCACUCCGCGGGGUCACUAGCCCCUGCUCCCACCCGCGAGGGCUCCGCCCCGCGGGGCCGGGAUCUCCUCGCGUCUCGGCCUCCCCCGCUGGGGAGUUCCUCGCGCCGGGCAUUGUGCCGCCGCCGCCGCCGCCGCCACCGCCACGCAGCGCACGGGACUCCCCGGCGUCUCCAUGGAGCCCGACCCCGGGUCCUUCCCGUUCACAAAAUCGCCCCUCUGGCCCCUGGUUGGGCCACGUGUCCCGACCCCAGCCCGAGAGCGACCUGGAGGGCCCCGACGCUGCGAGGAGACCCCUGACCCCAAGGGCGCCACCCCUCCUUGCAUGCCCUGGGGUCGGUCCCCGGCCGCGCUCUGCAGCCCCGCGCGCCUGCCAGCCCAACCUCCCGCUGCGGGGUCCCGUGCAGCCCUCCCCGGGCCGUGCCCGCCCCCGCCCCCAGCCCGCUCCUCGCGAAGGUAAUGACCGCCGCAGGGCGAAGCGCGGGCGGCGUGGGCCGGGCUACUCACGGGCUCAGCGCUCCCCGCGGCAGGUGACGGGGGCCCGGCGGCCAUGCCCCGGCUGCAUCCCGGCCGCCGAGCGGGCAGCGGCGUCCCGGGGCCGCGCGGGCACCGGCGAGCCGGCGGCGAGGGAGCGCGGGGCCGGGCUCGGGCGGCGGCCGAGUCCUCCGACCACGCGAGCGACUGGGGCCCGGGCCGGGGCCGCUGUGCGAGGAGGCUCCGCCGGCUCCGCGCUCCGCACUCGGUCUUCCCUCGCCGCCUCUCUCUGCUUUCUCUCUCCUCCCCUUUUCUCUCUCCCUCUCCCCGGUUCCUCUGGCUCGCUCGGCUGGAGCGAGGAGACAGCGGGAGCACGCGGCGGCGGCGGCGGCGGCGGCGGCGGCGGCUCGGGCGGAGCGCGCAGCGCGCGGCGAGGGAGGGGGCGCGGGCGGCCGCGCGGCCGGGGAGGGCGGCGGGGCGGGAGGGCCGCGGCCGGCGAGCGCAGGCUGGACGCACCCCGGCGGACCGCAGCGUCGGCCCCGCGGAGCUCCGGCACGAGAGAGGCGGGCGAGGCGCGGGGGACCCCAGACCCCGGAGCUGCCCAGGUCCCCGCGAGCGCCGCCCUCCGGCCCCGGGCUCCGCCUCCCCUCCCUCCCUCCCUCCCUCCCGCUGAUGGUGGGAACAGGCAGCCUCUAUCAGGACCCCUGCCCUCCCGCCCCCCUGGGCCUGGCCCAGAAAGGACAAAACCCAGGAUGUCCAGAAAUGGGACUCGGGCAGCGGGGGUGAAUGCCCCCACACUCUGCAGGCCGGUCUGCACUGCUAGUUCCCUUCUUUCACUUUACCCACUCGCCCCUACCCCCUUACUAGGGCCUGAGGUGCAAGGCCUUGCCUUCCUGAGGAUCACAGAGGGAGCGAACCCCCACCGCAGGGUUGUUGCUGGGGCCUUUGUCCAGACCGCCACCCCAACAGAUUUACACAUUUCCACCCUGGCUCCAGAAGGGGGGCUGUAG
rnacentral:lncRNA from 1 species